rnacentral:rRNA from 1 species
GACGAACGCUGGCGGCGCGCUUAACACAUGCAAGUCGAACGGAAAGGCCUGCUUUCCCUUGUGGAUUGCGGGUACUCGAGUGGCGAACGGGUGAGUAACACGUGAGUGAUCUGCCCCCAACUUGGGUAUAAGCCUGGGAAACUGGGUCUAAUUCCCGAUAGGACUGCAGGGUGGUGCCUGUGGUGGAAAACGAUUUUCUAGUGGUUGGGGAUGAGCUCGCGGCCUAUCAGCUUGUUGGUGGGGUAAUGGCCUACCAAGGCGGCGACGGGUAGCCGGCCUGAGAGGGUGGACGGCCACAUUGGGACUGAGAUACGGCCCAGACUCCUACGGGAGGCAGCAGUGGGGAAUAUUGCACAAUGGGCGGAAGCCUGAUGCAGCGACGCCGCGUGGGGGAUGACGGCCUUCGGGUUGUAAACUCCUUUCGACCGCGAGGAAGCCACCUGGUUGGAAGGGUGGUGACGGUAGUGGUAGAAGAAGCACCGGCUAACUACAUG